CCUACGGGAGGCAGCAGUGAGGAAUUUUCCGCAAUGGACGCAAGUCUGACGGAGCAACGCCGCGUGCAGGAGGAAGGUCUUCGGAUCGUAAACUGCUUUUAUCAGGGAAGAGAACGGACGGUACCUGAUGAAUAAGCCCCGGCUAACUACGUGCCAGCAGCCGCGGUAAU
rnacentral:rRNA from 1 species